ensembl:lncRNA
UAUUAUUAUUGCUUUAUGAAAAAACAAAUAUGUUUUUUAUUCUGUAACAGUCAACUUUAUUUAAUGCUCCCUUCUUUAGGGGGUAAGGAUAACUAAGAUGGGAAGUUUUAAAAACAGGGGCUCUGGUGCUGUAACUUGUGUAAUUUUAAACUCUGAAGGUCAAAUAAUGUUGUUUUUGCAGAGUUACAGCCACGUGUUUGGUUCCCAUCUCUCCCAUGAACAUUCUAGGGCUGAAAUCUUCAGUUUUGGGCAAAAGGGAAAUGAACUUUUUUCCCCUUUAUCCUGUGAGAAUAUUUGAUGAUGCCUCUCCUAAAACACACAUGCUUGAGGGUAAACUGAAGUCACUCCUCUCUCUCCUUGCUCUGAUCUGAGUGGGUGUUUCUUAGCAGCUUAUUUGCCUACAAAUAAAUAUUUGGUGGUGCUGGGCUUUUGGUGGAGCUCUCCCUGAAUUCAAAGGACAGCAGCAGGAUAAACUCAAAAAGAAGAGAAAACUAUUUUUGUUUCCAUUAAGAAAACAGCUGCAUGCCAUUUGUGGGCCAGUGGAAAUCAAGGUGUGAUUUGACUUCCACAAAAUAUUUCAGAAACAGAAUUCAAGGAGGAAAUUCAUGAGGUCAUUUGAUGCCACAGACAAUUCUCUCUUUAGAACUGAGAGUUUUUGUCUCUGAGGGCUCUUCCUCUUUGCUCUGUGGCUGGCAAUAGAAGAGGAAAUGCAAUAGCUGAAGCUCAUUUGAGCCUGGAAUUCAGAGAAGCUGGAUGGAUGAACUUGGAACAACCUCUGAAGUGAUUACCCUGGCAAGAACAGCGAGUUCCUUGUGAGGAGGCAUUAAAGUCAGCUCAUGUGAUGCACACUUUUGGGUUCCCACUUCCCACAGGAACACAUCAGAAGACAAGGAAGAAGAUGGUUUGUACUGGUGAAUCUCUGCUGAGGAUGGAAGGAGCCAAGAACUUCCAUAACUGCCCUUACAAAGGAUUCCCACCGAGCUUUGUUUUGUGUGACUGUGGAAAAAGAGGUGGAUUUGUGUUGCCUGCAAGCUCAUCCCAGCACUGCUGAGCGCUUUGUUUAUCCAUUCUCCAGAAAAGAUGUGCUGUGCUGUCAUGUUUGAUUGUUAGGAGGUUUUGUGAGGUCUCUGCUGCAAUGACUUUAGGGUUGUUCUGUCCUGAGGCAGGAACACCAAGGCUCUCCUGAGCUCAGCUCAACGCUGAGCUGCCGUGAACUGAACUCUUCAGCGUGCAGGGAACUGUCCCAGUGAGCAGAGCUGUGCUCAUUUACUCCCUGCAGAGAAAUCACAUUUGCUCUCCACAGCAUUUUCUCUUGGGAGGACCAGUUACUGGCUUGUGUCACAGGCAGCCUGCCGCUCCUCAGUGAUUUAUUCCUCCAGGCACACACCGAUCCCUUUCACCGCUCAGGGAUCCAAAUUCCACUCCCCAUCCACUGCAGGAGUGUGUGGGGCUGUGAGCACAGAAAUUGCUCUUGAGUAUCAGUUCCAGUUCAUCUGGUUUUGUUUCUGGUGCAGUGCUGCAGAGUGUUGAGUGUACAAACACACACGUGCUUGCAGGGAUAAAAGGCCUCAGCAGCCUCCUGUAUUCAUUAGCUGACCCAAAUUCUGCCCAGACUUGCAGAGCCUGUCAGGAUAACCAGAAUAGCAGUAGAUAAUCAGGAUGGCAAAAUUCCCCUUCUUCCUUUACCUGCUGCAGCUGGUUUGAGGGCAGUAUAUUUCUAUAAAUAAUAGACAGUAUUCUAUUAGCCUACACAUUAUUAUGCAUAGGGUAACAUUUUUCUUGUUUUAAGGGCGAUUAAAACAACCAAAUUCAAGACAGAAAACAAGGAAUAAGAAUGAGAAAGUGAUGUCAAAAUUUGAUUGCAAGCAUAUGGGUACCUCCCCACAUCCCUUAUGGCUGUCACUGGAUUUCUCUGGUGACAUUACAUUUGUUUCCCUCCUGGAAUUCAAUCUGUGUUUUCUCAUCUGAGUAAAGUUUUAGCAUUUCUGCUCUUUGUUGCUUUCUGCAGGAGCCAUUUAGGAGAUGAGCUGUGUAGGAAUGCAGUAAAAUACUGAGAUGCUCUGCUAGCUGCUGUGGUGAGCAAACCCUGUUGGCUUGGCUUAGGCCAAGUGUCACUUCAGUGUCCCCUGGCACUCAUCACUGCCUGGGACUGCCAGCCCUUUUCAGGCUCCUCCCUAUUGCAAUACAGCUUAUCCAGGCUGGAGCAGGAGAAGGAAAAGAAAUAAUUCAAAAAUAAUCCAGAAGAACGGGGAGGUAACCCACUAUGGACCCUGACUCAUGGGUUUUUUAGCCUUCCUGGUUAAAUAUACAAAGCCAAGGGUUCUGGUGCCUUGCACAGUACAUUAAACAGCUUAAUCACACUGUCCUCUCUCACAUUCAUAAAUUUAGUGUUUGUUCUCCUGAAGCAGCUGUUUUCUUCUCUUGCUCUACUUUAGCUCUUCUUCAGAAUACAAAUUCCAGCUCAUUUCCAUUUUUUUUCCAGACCUAACACUUUAAAGUUUGGUUUUUAACCCUUUAGACCAAAAAUUGAGUUGUUUAAGGACCACUCUUUUAUUUUUCAAAUAAAAUAUUCCUUUGCUGUUAAAUAUUUCCCA